AUGCAGUUAUAUAUUCAAAAGCUAUUGCUGUCAGUUUGAUUAUGGGUUAUUCCCUUAUGUAUGAAAAUGGAAGUAACUUUGACUCCCUUAUGUCUGGUCUCUUAAAGUACGAAGAAGUAAAUCCUGCUAUUUCCUAGUGUUCUUCACAUGCAUUAAGAUAGUCUUUUGUUUUGUUUCCUUAGGCUGGAAGAUUUGCUGUUCCAACCCCCUAAGACACAAAGUUAAUUUAUUUAAUAGUCAUUUGCAGUCAUAUCUAGUGUGUGUACAUGGCAAUGGAGUCACCUAUCAAUUAUGGCUACAGUUGUCUUGAUUCAGCCUACCUCCAAAAGAGAUAAUAAAAUGGAAGGAAAAAAGGUGCAGAGCUAGCCGGGGUUGAGCGAAAAGAUCAGAGG